rnacentral:lncRNA from 12 species
GAGCACACCCCAUGUCCUUAUCAGCCUUAGCAAGCCACUGCCAAAACCCUGUCUUCACAGACACUUCCGGCCAGCCAGCAUCUGUUUCCUCUCCUAUAUUUAAACAACCAGUCAUUACAGGUGUACAAUGCACUGAAUUUUCACAAUAGCACUUCCGGUGACACAGAAGGAGGGUCAUUGAAGACAGACUGCCAGAUCCAUCAGCACAGCACUGCGUGGCGGGAACACUAAUUCACUGCAGAGGUGACACUACCCCAGACCUCGGGUUUCUUCCACGAGCUAUAUUCUCCAGCUUUGCCUUGCCGGCCCCUGCUGCGCACACACACUUACCACUGUUAAUGUGCUGUGUGUUAGCAAACAGGAACCACUUUCCAUAUGGCCCUUCUUCAUGCAUAGGCAAAACAACAACUUAAAGUGAAUUCUUCAGGGAGCUAAAUAAGUCAUCACAAAGAGUCGGUUCAGUGCCAGAGCCUGCUUGCCUUCCUUUGAGGGAAAUGCUAACUCACAGCAGCUGCUACCCGUGUUCGUGACAUCCAGAAGCCUCAGCAACCUCAGCAACCUAGAACUGUGUGGUCGGUGGCUGCCAUCUCACUGUCCCCCGCAGAGUGCUCUUCCUGACUGGAGUCUUCACAGAAGAAUUUUCGGUGUGAGAUCAGAAAAUCCACGAUCUUCGAACAAGUCGGUAGGAAGACAGUGGCAAAAGGGUUAAGAGUCCAUCUCAGUCACCAGUGCAAGAAUUUGAAAGCUUAGGCCUUCUACUUUAAGGCUUUGUAAUUUGCCACCACAUUAACAGAAGAGGAGGAUCAUUGGUGAUAAAGACAUAGGAACUGGGGCCCCUUGGGGGCUCAGCGGUUGAGUGUCUGCCCAGGGCAUGAUCCCGGGGUCCUGGAAUAGAGUCCUGCAUGGGGCUCCCUGCAGGGAGCCUGCUUCUCCCUCUGCCUGUGUCUCUGCCUCCCUCCGUGUGUCUCUCAUGAAUAAAUAAAUAAUCUUUUAAAAAGAAAGAAUUAUG